UGCGUAGGCGGUUCAUUAAGUCAGCGGUGAAAUACGACAGCUUAACUGUCGAGGUGCCAUUGAUACUGGAGAACUUGAGUACUGAUGAGGUAUGCGGAAUGGACGGUGUAGCGGUGAAAUGCUUAGAUAUCGUCCAGAACACCGAUAGCGAAGGCAGCAUACUAAGGAGUAACUGACGCUGAGGCACGAAAGUGUGGGGAUCAAACAGGAUUAGAUACCCUGGUAGUCCACACUGUAAACGAUGAUCACUCGAUGUUGGCGAUACACAGCCAGCGUCUUAGCAAAAGCGAUAAGUGAUCCACCUGGGGAGUACGCCGGCAACGGUGAA
rnacentral:rRNA from 1 species